GCCAGAGUGGUGCUGUGGUUUGAGCGUUGGAUUACGACUCUGGAGACCAAGGUUCGAAUCCCCACUCGGCA